rnacentral:lncRNA from 1 species
UCAUUGGAGGUUUUUGAAGAUCAAAGGAGAUUAGAGAGAGGAGCUUCAUGCUUCGGGUCGGGGAAGAAAAGACAUAGAAUUUGGAUUUUUUUCUUCGGAGAGUUUUUGGGAAGACUGAGGCAAUCGCUGCUGAAGUCAGUAUUGUAAUGGUGAAUCGGGAUUUUUAAUGAAGUGGGUUUGAAUACUCUUGACUGUUUUGUGAAAUCGAGUUACGUCUAUGAUUGAAGGAUUAAAAGGAUGUCUAUAGGAUUGAGUAUGCGGAGUGAAUGAAAUUUAUUGGGUU